CCCCCUUCCCUUGCCCCGGGUCUGGGACUCUCCCACGAGGCCACGAACCCCUCCCCUCCUCCUCGUCGAGCCUCGAUCUAGCCAGAUCCAUCCAAUCCACACACAGAUCUGGCCUAACCAUCCCGCGGCUGCGGUGGCAGGUCACUAGGAUGGCGGUGGGAACAGACCUCGAUGGCGGCAGGUCACCAGGACGGCGGUGGGAACAGACCUCGACGGCGGCGGGUACCUAGAAUCGCUGUUGCACCAACCGCGCGCGUCACAACGGAGGGUGGGGCUUGACGGAUCACCGCCUCACCGAUGUGUUCGCUGCCACCUCUGCCGGAGCAGCGAACGCUGUGCUUGUCGCUAGACCAGCGGGUGCUGGGUGAGCCACGUCGCUUGACUGGGUCAACUCCAAUGGCCCCGGCAUCGGCGGCGAUGAGGCGCCGGACGAUCGGCCCGUGUGGCAGGUGGCGGCGCUCGCAGUGGCAACGGAGAUGCGUGCGUUCGCAGCCCUGUCUGGGUCAUCCUCACUACCGUCCUCGCCUUAGGGUUCAGCAUCGGAACUAAAACCUGCUGCUCUGAAGGUGCCAGCGUCGCUGAGGGAAUUUAUCAAUGUGGAAUGCUCAUCACCUCAUAGGGAAGAUUUGAACCAAGUGAAUGCAAGGAUUUUUUUGGCAAUGUCUAGCUCAAUCUCACCUUCGAGAAAAUGUAAUAUUUUUCCUCCGGAGUUAGUCUACACUAUCCAGGUUGUAGGCUACUACUGAGAUCCCAUCAAGGUAACACUCUUCCCCCACAUAUUAAUCUGCAAGAAAAGUAUAAACAAGAUUCAAGUGAGCGGUCUUCAUGGGGUUGCUUGUUCGUAUGAUUUGUUCAUGUGCUUCAUUUUGUAAUUCCAGUCAAGUAAAGGCUAAAGAAACAUGCUACCCUCAAACUGAAGUUUUGCAACCAUGUUAAUAUUUAAUGCAAAUUGCCAAGACUCUUCUGGGAGGAUUAUGUUUAUCUCUGUAACUAGUUGUUAGCAUUUUCCUAUUCAACAAUAAAGGUCGACAUCACUACAGGAAAUGGUUCUGAGUGUUACUCCUUCGAUUCAAACUCAUGAAUUAAGUUAAAGUCUACAUAUGAGGUUGUGUUUCAGCCAUGCAUACUUUGUGUGCAUGUGUUGUUUGUGUUGAGUUUGGUUUGGUGGUAUAUGAGCUGUGUUGUAUUGUGGUGCUCAUGUCGGUGCUGUUUAUUUUACUGUGUUAAAGAUAUAUGAUUCACAUCUCUUCAUGUUGGAAGUUAUUAAUGUGAGUUUUUUUUGCACAAAGUGUUGAGCUAACACAAGAAUAAUCUUGCAAUUCCUGAAAUUUCUAUGGGAACAUGUCUUAGUCUUGUGUUAAUUUGAGGUUGUGUUUCGUCCGAUCUUUGUAGAACUAUGUUGUUGUGCGCCUGUGCACUUGUUGAGUCUUUUUGCUAUGCACUUGCACUUGUAGCAUUAUUUUGCUGUGCACUUGUGCACUUGUUGGACCUUGGACCUUGCUGUGUAGAGCAGUUAAUGGAUGAUGUAUUGUAUUUCAUGUGAUGUGUUACUGAAAUGAAAUAUACAAUUUAUCUGCAAUAUUGUAUUCUGUUGUAAUUGUUUUCA